rnacentral:rRNA from 1 species
GAUGAACGUUGGCGGCGUGCCUAAUACAUGCAAGUCGAACGAAGACUGUAGUAAUACUGUCUUAGUGGCGAACGGGUGAGUAACGCGUGGGUGACCUGCCCCGAAGUGUGGGAUAACAGUUCGAAAGGAUUGCUAAUACUGCAUAAUAUCCAAGAGAUUAGACGCUUUUGGAUUAAAGGAGUAAUUCGCUUCGGGAGGGGCCCGCGUCCCAUCAGCUAGUUGGUAAGGUAAUGGCUUACCAAGGCGAUGACGGGUAGGGGACCUGAGAGGGUGGCCCCCCACAAUGGAACUGAAACACGGUCCAUACACCUACGGGUGGCAGCAGUAGGGAAUAUUAGUAAUGGGCGAAAGCCUGAACUAGCAAACGCCGCGUGUGCGAAGAAGGCCUUCGGUUGUAAAGCACUUUUGUAGAGGAUGAGGAAGGACGGUACGUCUCAGAAUAAGUCUCGGCUAACUACGUGCCAGCAGCGCGUAAAAGUCACGUCG